rfam:Ovis aries breed Texel chromosome 1, whole genome shotgun sequence.
UCCCUGGAAGUCCCAUGGUUAAGACUUGGUGCUUUUACUGCUGAAGCCCAGGUUCAAUCCCUGGUCAGGGAA